GGCCUCUUGCCAUCAGAUGUGCCCAGAUGGGAUUAGCUUGUUGGUGAGGUAACGGCUCACCAAGGCGACGAUCCCUAGCUGGUCUGAGAGGAUGACCAGCCACACUGGAACUGAGACACGGUCCAGACUCCUACGGGAGGCAGCAGUGGGGAAUAUUGCACAAUGGGCGCAAGCCUGAUGCAGCCAUGCCGCGUGUAUGAAGAAGGCCUUCGGGUUGUAAAG
rnacentral:rRNA from 1 species